GAUCGAACCAAAGGUAAAACUGCUGCUCUCUAUCACCUUUGCCUUGAGUGUAAACGUUAGUGUGAAGUAUGUAAGGAUCUCCACUAACAUUCCCCAAGAACUCGAAAUCUAUCUCGUCCCAUGUUAAUCCUUGAGACUUCAACUACACACCAAAAAAACACCAAAAUCUAUUAUUCAACGUAACAUUACGUAAUAUAUUUAUAUUUAUGACUUGCUAAUUAAGAACUUACGUAGAAGGUGGUCACGGUCCCGGCGGAAUUUCCCGGAACAAGCUUGAUCUGCAUGUCGACUUUUCCGUACAAAUACUCGGCUUUCGAUUGAAACCCUGAUCCCGAAGAUUGAUCAAGAGUGAGAUUCAAAAGAGUAUCAUUGUUCAAAAACUUUCCACGACCAUCACCCCAUGUUAUGUCAAUGUCUUGGUUGAGAUAGUUAGCGUGUGCCACAAGAAAUAUGUUUAAACCAAGAAUAAUAAUUAAUGACAUAACCAAAAGUGCCUGAGAAGCCAUUUUGGUUCCCACUUUCGGGAUGUAUCUCUUUCUUGAAGGGUUUAGGUGGUGUUAAGUGUUGAUUUGAAUUUGAGACACUCAGACGAGUAUUGAUUGGUGGGUAUUUAUAUAAUGGGGUUUUGAUUCCUUGCUAUCUUUUCAGUCCUUAAAUUUACUUUAAUUUUCUUAAAGAAAAAAAGGUGAGAUUAGUGUGGCUAAUGUGAGAAGCAACCAGCCUGGAGAGCAUAACCAAAGCUAUAGUGCUAUACAUCUUGAACAUUUAAGUCAAUUAACUAUUGCUAAUGUAUUACAUCCUAAUCUUAGCCAGCCCAAUUUAAUAUUUCAACUUGGUAUAUGGAACUUGAAAAAAUAAAGUCAACUUUUUGGACGGUACUAUUUCAUCAUAAAUUAUUUACUAUUAGUUCUAAUUUCUAUGUAGAUGCGACUGACUUUAGCUCUUGAGUGCGUAGACAGGCUAACUGGAUCCACCGAACAUGAUUUGUUACAAAAAUUGGUAAAAUUGUAAACAAUGAACUGACCGUGUGGAAGCUAAUUAAGAAAAUAAACUAUCUAAACGAUUAACUCUGAUCUUAAGUUAGAUUAUAAUUACUCUCUCUCAACUAUUUUGUUUUACCAAAAGUCAAAUUGCACCCCUUGAGUCUUUAGAGACCUUAUUUAUAAAGUACAAACAGUAAAUGACCAUAGAAGUUCUCUAAUUCAGAUAGAGAAUGAGCUAGUGGUAAAAUCGGUAUAAGUACAAACAGUAAAUGACCAUCCAACAUGCUAUUUUGCAUAUCUUCAUCUUUUUUUUUGUAAUCUGGCUUUUUGCUCAUCUUCAUCUUGUCUUGCAUCAAAUUAGAUUAGCUAGACUAAUCUGAAUUGGUCCAAGUUAUUGCUUGAUUAUCAAGCUCACCUAGACUUUACCUUGUUCUUAAUCCUUUUUGGACAAAGGUAGACUCUAGUUCGAUUAUCCCUUUUGUAAUUGUUCCAAACAAGUGUCAUAUUCAUAUAUGAAAUUCACAUUUUCGCAAAAGAUGUUAUUUACGUAAAACCUGAAUGCAAAAACCAGUUGCCGCCCAUAUUCUCGUCUGAUUAAAUAUGGAUAUGUUUAUAGCAAAGUCGAUCAUAAGAGUUGGAUGAUUCAUACAUAUUAACAUUUGAGGACCAAAACGGAUGUUGUUUCUUUCUGUCUCCAAAGUUUUUUUUUGGUCAAAUGAAAUUCCUGUCUCCAAAGCAACACUAAAAUUAUUCAUCGUGGUAAUAGCAUAAUUAAUCAUCAGACGUUAAAAAAAAGUUAAUGCUAAAGGAAAAAGUUUAUGGUCUCUCCAAAUUAGGGCAGCUCGUAGCUAUCUUUGAUAUCGAUGCAUCUGUGACACUUAAGCAGCUUUUAAGACAUAAAACCUCCAAACUAGGGCAUCUGCAAAUGAAAAACAUGCUACAUGUAAACUCAAAAAUUAAGUUCAAUUUUAUUUAAAUAUAUCAACCUAAAUUAUUUUUAUGAAAGGUUAAUGCUACACAUUUGGUCUAAGAUUUUGAUCCGAACAAAACCAGCCAACCAAAUGAACCGAAAAUUUUUAUUUUCAGAUCAAAUAUGGUUAUGAGUUUGAUUCAAUUUGAUAAGCUUUUUUUUUUAUAAAAAUAAUCGAUUAGCGGUUUUCUUUGGUAGUGGGUUAGUUUAGUUUAUAAAAGAAUUCAAACCAAGCUAACCGAAUUAACCAAUAUUUUGAAUCAAACUAACCAAAUUUAACCGAAAUUAUCUGAAUGUUUAGUUUUUUACCAGCUUAAACCAAAAUCUCAUAAAAACCAAAAGACUUCGAUUAAAUUCGGCAGAAUUUUAGAAAUUGAACUAACCGAACUGAAAUUUGAAGUUCAGUUCAGUAAGAUUUUGGACGAACCAAACUAACUGAAAUUGACAUUUCCAAACAUAUUAAACCGAAAUAACCAAACCCAGAGGCCUGCUACAAAUAGUGAUAGCACAUAUACCUCUCAGCAGCGUACAACAAAGAUUGAUCCGAACAGUGCCUAACGCGGAUCUCCUUGAGACCACCUUGGCUUCGAUCCACAACACACCGGAGAAAGGAGUCAACCUUCUGCUCAAACUCGUAACUAAACCAAAGAUUCGAAAUCCGAGACCCCUCGAACCAAGUAUCUAGAUCAAAUACCGAGUUGAGAGACGGGUCGUCGCAAGCGUACAUCCAAGGCUUGCAUACGAGCAUUGGUCCUCUCCAACGUUCUUCCAUGCUUAGCCGCGAAACUAUGUCGAUGAGACAUUCCUUAUUCAACUCUGACCAGUCACGAAGUAAACCAGAUCCGAUCGCUUCUUUGUUUCCUUCGUUGUUGUCGUUCAUUCUGAUUUUAGCUUCGUUCAUCAUGUGUUUGAUUUUUUCUUCACGUUCUCUUUAACACGAAAUAAAGUUGCAUAUAUUCAAUCCACUAGCUAAUACCUUUUGGUUAAUCUAUACUCGGUCUUUCUUUUGACUAAUCUAUACUUGAUUAAAGUUGCAUAAUGUUUGUUUUUUUCUUUCCCAGCCUAUCUUUAUUGUUUCUAUCAUCAACUUGUUCCCACAGUCUACUUUUGAUUAAUGUUAAACGGUCUUUCUUAUUACCAUCUAAAAGCAAAAGAAAUAAAAUUGGCCUUUCUUAUAUUGGCCAAAACUAUGUGUGGCCUAAUUUGUAAUAAUGAGUUUGAUAAAUUUACAGAACACUUAAAAUCCAUUUUUAUUGGGUAGUGAUGUUUUGUUCUUCAAUAGUUUUUUUACGCAAUUAAAAAUAUUUUAAUUUAGUGAUUUUUCAAUGAAAAGAAGACAAUUAAACCAUUUACAUUAUUACAUUUUAAGGAUUAAUCUGUAUCUUUAUAAUCUAAGAAUUUAAAAGUCAUUAAUGAAUUUAUCAUUAAUGAAUUUGAUAAAUUCACAAAACACUUAAUCAACUUUCAUUGGCUAUCAAAAGUUCUUUUCAAGAAAUUUUUAAAAACAUUUCAAUUUAGAAAGAAAUCUGUAUAACAAGACUGUUAUACAUUGUUACACUUUAAGUUAUUUAUAAUUAAUCAAUGUGUCUAAAAGAUUUAAAAUGUGAAAGAAAGUGAACCAAAAAAAUGAAUAAUGAGGUUGCCUGGAUGAAACACUUAAAUAACCAUGUCAUUCAACAAACUCUCUAAGACACUACACGAUUUUAACAUCCAAAAUCCUCCAACAAUAAUAUCACAAAUCAUAAAUUCAUGUACAUAAAAGACUUUUAAGUGUAUGCUUAAUAAUGCUCACACAUUUCAGCUCUUCAUGGCUUAACAUAUUCCCUGAUGAACUCUUGAACUUGCUCUGUUUGUCCUGUUAGUCCAGAUGCUUCAGCGACAGUGACUUUGUUUAAGCAAUGCGUAAAGGAAAACACUUCUCCUUCAAUCCCAAGAGUAAAGUCAUUGGCUAUGUCAGCUGUUGAAACCGCACUCCUCGAAACCCUAAGUUUCUCUCUGCAAAACACACACAGAAUAUUAACAAGCUGAAAAACAAUGAGAGCUUCUCUUCAUGGAUAACAGAUAAUAAUCAAUGUUACAUUUCUUUCUCCAUCUGCUUGCGGAUGAACUCUUUUGUGUGUGCAGUUAUUUUAUCUGUCUUGUUACAGCAAAGCAGGACUGGGAUCUUAUUCUUAACCACGCUUGCAUUGGUAAGAAUGUCGUAAAGGUACCUGGAGAAGUACAAAACCGUGUUUAAGUGUUCAUCUUCUAAGAGUCACUUUAUUAUGCCUAAGCAAAGCAUUUCUUAUGAGGUAAUUAACUUACUCUGAAGCUGCACGACAAUUUGGGAGGAACUCAAGUGCAUCUACAACAAACACAAUAGCAGCUGCUCGAGGCAAGUAUUCUUCUAGCUUAGAUCUAAGCCGAGAGUGCCCAGGAACAUCAACAAGAUGAACGGGCUUUGUUUUCUGUCAAACAAACACGGCAAUGUCUGUUAGAUAGUCCACAAAAAACACUUUAGCGUCUUAAACAAAACGCAAGUGAAGAUCUUUCUUUACCUGGGUGUUUUCAGUGUGGAGCACAAAGGUACCUUCAUUAGGUUCCAUUGACGUCACAGAACCCUGAUGAGAAGAUCCAUCUCGGAGCUGUUAUCAAAUGCAAAUCAAACCGUAUUUUAAUCUCCAAGAGGAACACUAUAAGGGAUUUGACCAGAAGACAUACUUGGAAUGAGGAAAGGAACAAAAAACCAUAAACACUCACUCGAUAGAAGAGAACGGUUUUGCCACUUCCGCUUAAACCAGAGAGGAGUACAGUAUUGGACUUCGUACGCCUGAACAAGCGAGCUGCACAAGGCAACAAACGCGACAACAUUCAUUAACCACCAAAACAUCUGAUUUUUUUUAAUUUAACGUAUAACCAAAGGGAGAUAGAUAUUCCAAAGACAUAAAAAGAAAAAAUUGGAAACAAGAAACACAGAAGCACCUUCACACUCAGUGAGCUUAUUAUACAAGUCUAAAGUGGCAUCUUGAAAACAUCAAACUCCUCUCAACCACAAACAAGAGUGCAACAAAAUUAUAACAUAGAUAAAAAAAAUCUAUGCCUACAAGGUUCCCAAUUCAGAUCCGAAUAUAAAACUCAAGAAGAAUGUGAUGGUCUACUACUACUUACUGGAGAAGAAGAAGAGGAUAGUAAAUAACAGAACGCCAAUAGCAGCAUAAAGUUGAUUCGGUGGUAUUUGUUGAACAAGUUCAGUUCCUUGAUUCAACCACUGCUCCGCCACAAUCUUCAAAUCCUCCAAGUUCUUCUCCAUUGAUUCCACCGCUUCGUCUGCAUUAAAAAAAACACACACAACGAUUUUAAGCUCCAAGGACCAAACAAGUGACAAAUUUAAUGAUCAAAGAGCAAAGAACUCAACAGAGUGAUCAGCUUCUUUCAGGCAUUUUAACGAACAGAUCUUGUGCAAUCGAUAUAUACUUUGUGAAUAUGAGCAAGGGCUCAAUUUAUAUGGAUAAAUUCACAAAAAGUUAAAUAAUUCGCAGAUCAACGAGGAAAACACACACACACACACAUUUGAUUCAAACAAAACCCAGAUCGAAAAAGGAGAAAUUGUAAAACCCUAGAUCCAGAAAAUAAACAACGAGAAAUUGAGAGAAUGUACCGCAAAAUAAGAGAAAGAGGUAUAGAAAAGAGAAGAAACUCACUCACUGAUGAGAAGUACGGCAGGAGUUGAAGAGAUGGAGACUGUGUCCUACGUGAAGAUGAGAGAUUCGUUCUCAAGAUGAGAAUACGAGAGAGAGGGUUUGGUUGGUAUAUUUUGAAGUUGGUCAAGGGUAUUAUAGUCAGAUCCAGGGACAAAUCUGUCUUAAACUAGUUACGUAUCUGAGUCAACGCAUAUAAUGGUACGUAACUUUUAAUAUCUACAACUAUAUUUUUUUUGAAACUCUCAAAAAUAUUUUUUUUUACUGUUUAUAUAAAAAUAUAAUAAUACAUAAUAACCUUUAGUUCAUAUACUAUUUAAAAAAUAUGCUAUUAGAAAACUAUCAAAUUUUAAUAAUUCAUUUAAAAUAUUAAUGAAAAAUAAAUUUUAAUGAUUAAUUUUUUAUUAUAACAAAAUCUGUUGACAAAAAUUUAGAAAAUAUUACCAAAAAUUUAAAUAUUUUAUAAAAUAAUAUAUUAAUGUUAUUAAAAAAAACAAAUUCAAAAUUCAUGUAAUCUUCCCAACUCAAAAAUAGUUGUGUAAUGUUCUAAAGUUUUCUUGACAAAAUAUAAAAUUCUGAAAAUAAAAAUUCAAACUCAAAAUGAUAAUAUUUCAAAUUUUACAAAAGAUAAAAUCAAAGAUAAUAAAGAAUAAUUUUUUUGAAAUGCACCACAAAAAACAAACUACAUAUGUUGUAAAAAUUAAAGCAGCCUAAUAUUUUAAAAUUUUAAUUAAAAAAAAAAGAAACCUUAAUAUCAUAACAUCCAAAAAUAUCAUAUAUCAAUAAAAUUUACAAAAAUAUACGAUAGAUGCUACUAUGUAUAAAAUUUAUUAUUUUAUAUAAAGAAUGAGUGGUUUUACUCAUAAAUCCCAUAAAAAACUAAAAUGAUAUAAGUUAAAAUAUUUUUGUAAACACAAAAAUGUAAAUAUAAAUUAUCUUACACAUAUAUCUUUUUUAUAAUAUAAAUAGAUAAAUCAAUUUUAAAAAUGUAUUAUAUGCAAAAUGUAUAAAUUAAAGAAAGCAAUUAUUUUGAACAAUGUUCUCUAUUUGAUUAUUUUAUAUUGUUAUUUUAUUGUAGCUAAUUCGAAAAUAUAUUAGCAAAUAAUAAAAAUUAAUAACAAAGUAAAAUGUAUUAAACAAAUUACUAUAUAUUAAUAAUACCAAAUAUGAAAUAUAAAUAAUAAUAAUAUUGAGUUACACAAUAUAUAGCACUAAAAUAGAAAUUAUAUAUUAAAACAUUUGUAAAAAUAUUAAAUACAUUUAUAAAACGAAAAAUAUCUAAAUGGACGUGCGGAUUAAAAUCUAAUUUACAGUUAUGUCAUUUUCUGACUUGUCGUUUCCUAACGAUAACGAUAAGAGGUUUGAUGUUUCAAAAAAUCUAAGGCAAACAUGAACACAUACAUUAUUUUUAAAUAACAAUAUAAUUCAAACAACUAAGUAAUAUAAAUACCAAAAAAUAAAAGAAAACAUUCAAACAGCUAGUCAAAACAAUUGUUAGAGGCGAAUUAAUCAGUUAAACUGAAGGACCAUAGCAUCCCAACCACAAUGACUCUAUAUACCAAUUUAUCUCAUAACAUAUUAUUUCAUACAUACAAAUUAACCAACCUCUAUAAUCAACAAAAACACAAGGAUCGUGACACAAACAAGGAAGAACUAGGCUCAUGGGUUUUACAGACGCAUGAAAAUAUAUUUACUUCUCGGAUGAGAAUAACGUGAGAUUUAGGUUUUCAAACUAGACGAAGGGAGAAAGGAGAAGAGAUUUUCACCAGUGAACAUGAGGCUCGCCGGCGGCUACACUAUCAGAUCUAUGUAUAGGCUCUUUGCUUUCCCGAAUCACAUUGAUAGUCAAAGGUCUUGUUAGAUUCGGAUUUAUCAUGGGCUUAUAGCUUAAAACCAAUUGGUGAUUAGUGGAUUGACCUUAAUCCUUUAUAUAUUACUUAAGGUCCCUUAGAAGUUAGAAUUGUCGAUGUGAGAUAUAUAUAUCCCUAAUACCCAUCUUCGAGAUGAUGGCUCUUAUCGGCCAGAAAUCUCGAAACUUUAGGACAUUUAUACUCGGUCGAGCGAGUUUAACAUGACCUUUAUACUAGGUCGGAAAGAGUUAAUCACGACCUUUAUACCCGGUUGGAAGAGUUAAUAUUAAUUAGGAGUUUGGAUAUUUAGGAUCUGAGCUCUGAUAUUAUGUUAAAUCCAGGUUGAUUAUGGGUUUCCAAUUUAAAACCAGUUGAUGAUUAGUGGAUUAGUCAUAACCAUUUAUAUAUUACUUAAGGUCUCUUAGAAUUCUCGAUAUGGGAUAUAUAUCUUUAAUAGGUCUCUAUAACAUUGUGUUGCUGGUUUUCUUUUCUUUUUCUUUUUUCCCUUAAAAUGACACUUUUUAUACAACCUCGUGAUUUCUUGAUAUAAUUUUCUCGGUCUAUUACUUUUAAUUUAUCCAAUUUCAUUACCUGUUCUUUGUAAUUUAAAAGUUAAAAAGAAAGAAAGUAUAAAACAUGAAUUGCACAAAGGCAACGUUAACGUCUUUUGAAGUUUAAACCAUCAAGCUUUUAAAUGCCACAACUAAACCUUUUUAGUCAUCUACCUUAUUACACGACAAAGAUAUAUAACAUCUAAAAACUCAGCAGUUUCUGGAGACCAAGAUUUUUUUUUAAGCAGAGAAAUACUUUUUGGGUAUUGAAAAAGCAUCCAACUAAUAUUAUUUGAGACUGGUGUUAUUUAUUCCCAAUAGAAGAGGGAACUGUAAACCCACUUUUAAAGUUAAUUUUAUCGGAUAUUUUUUGAGUAAGGUUUUUCUGCAAAGAAGAUUAAUUUUCUAAGUGUUAAAACAUUUAUAGUCAUCUAAGAUUGAAAUGAAAAAAAAGUGAAUUUGGACUAAAUGCCGAAUAUGUCGUGAGCACUUUGGAUAGCCGUCACUUCUUGUUCGUUUAGUGCCGGGCCGAAGGCUAGUGUACGAUAUGUUAUACUUAUAUCCUAACGCUGAGAAAUUAAAAUCAGUACUUGGGAGUAUAAAAACGACCAAUUGUUUUUCACGACUAUAUUAGUAAUUCAAAUGGUGUUAUAGUAUAAAACUACUUGAAUAUAAAGAUCUAAUUGCAACUAUGUGGAGGGCCGCACAUGUGUGCAGACUUAAUAUGAUUUUUAGUUUUGAUAUAUAUAUUUUUAUGAUUUAACAUUUAUGGUUUAACAUUUGAGACUUUUUAAAUAUUAUAUACUUUUCAUUCUAAUUAUUAUAGUUGAUGUUUAAAUUUAUAUCAUAUAUAAGUAUGCAGUAAAUAAUUCAUGUAGAGUAUGUUGAUAUGUAGUAUUCUGACAUCAUAACCACCCGGUCAAGACCUAGUUAUAUAUUAUUUAGUGAUAAAUGAAAUAUAGAAAUAAUAGAAUCAAAGUAAAAUUAAAUUAAAUACACUGACUUAAUUCUUAGGGUCUGACUGGUUCAACCGCAGCGGUUGCGGUUGCGGUUGCGGGAGUUUGCGGAUGCGGGUGGUUGCGAUUUCUAGCAGUUUUAAGAGAUUUGUACGACUGGUUCUGCGGUUAGAAAUUGGUGCGUUUGCGGGAUACUUAUGACUGGUUAACUACCAAAUACAGCAGUGGUUAAAUAAUAAAUUAACAAUAUUUACAUUUUAUACAAUUAUAAAAAUAUCAAAAAUAAUAAUAUUAUAAUAAAUAUAAAAUUUAUAUUUAGAAAGUUAUACUUUAUUUUUUUAAAAAAAUAUAGAAAAUAUUUUUGUUUUAAAGUUUUAUAAUAUUAAUUAAAAUAUAAUAGAUAUAUUUUAGUAUUUUUAUAAUUCUAAUUUAAUUUUUUUUAUUGAAUAUUUUUAUUUUUGUAUUUAUAUUGUUUUGGAGAAAAAAUAUUUUUUUUUAAUCUUCCCGCAACCGCCCGCAACUGCAAACGCUAGCUGGAACCAGCUUUUGAAUUUAUGAGGUUCAGAGCGAUUUGGAGCGGUUUGGAGCGGUUUGAGCGAUUGUUGCAAAAUGCCAACAACCGCUACCAACCGCAAAAGCUGCGUUUGCGGGUGGUAGCGGGAAAACCAGUCAUACCCUUAGUCUGAUUGUAACCUCUGAUGCCCUUUUUUAGAGAUUUUAAAAUUAAAAUAUCAAUUUAAAAAAAUAUAGUUGCUAACUCUUGUAGCGAGGCAUGAAUUAAGGUUAGACGAUGAGGUGUUGGAGGAACGAGUCUAUAAUGCUCUCCUGUUCGUGUUCGAUAAGGAGCUUAACUUGUCCUCCAUCUCCAGAGUCAGAUUUGAGAUUUAGGGAAUUGUUUUUAUAUUUAUUUUAAUAUAUAAAAUUCAACAAAAAAAUUAAUUCGAUAUUCGACAAUAUAUGGACCAUGAAAUCCAUAUAUAAUAGAUUUCUACAAUUUAAAGACCAAAACAAAUGUUUCUUCUAGCUGUGAUCAGAACCGGCCAUGUCCAUCUUGAGGAGCCGGGGGAGCUCCUACAGCUAUCAUUUGUCUUCCUAUCAUUGAUGUUUGUUUCACAGCACCCACACCUUUUAACACAUUAGCCAUUUCUUUAGAAAAUUAACUCACCAAAAAGACUAAAAUUCAAAAGGAAGCUGAGAUGAGAGGAUUUAUGUAAAAUAAAAACUUAGUAAACUAUAACUGUGAUAAAUAUUUUCGGAAUAAAGAGACACUGACCUAGGUGACGGAAUGUAGCCUCUGUCACACCAACCUGAAAAGAUGCACAUAGAAGUAUAUGAACCAAACUUAAAAGAAGAAACGCUUGAAGUGUUUUUUUCAUUGUCAUUGUUUUGUUGUUCUUCCCUCACGUCUCGACCAUUAGUGGGUAUAUAUACAGAUUGCAGCAAACAAAAUCAACCGUAUAGUGGACAAAUAAAGUGGAAAUGUCAAACUUCUUCGACUUCGUCUCAUUCAAGAACGCGGUUUUCCACUGUUAUACUUCUUCUGAACAUUCAAAUAAACACUUGACCAAAAUUAUGUUCCAUGAAUAUAGCCGGAUAACUACAGAUGCAAGACUUUAGGAGUUUUUGGAUUAUUUCAGGUUAAACUGUUCAUCGUUUGUCAUGGUCGUAUUUCGUUGAGUUACAUUUUAAAUAAAUUUGUUUAAUUAUUUUUUUUUUGUAAAUUUUGGUUAGAGAAUCUUAUAUAUUAAAACAGAAGUCACAACUUUGAUUUAUGUGUGAUUUUUUUAAAAAUGGACCUAAUAGACCUAUUCAUAGAAAUUUAUAUUAUAUUUUAGUUCAGACUAAUAAUAAAUAGAAUUUUUAAAAUAUUUUAAUUAUAAUAUCUUUUGAUAUCUUUUCAUUUUAAAUAUAAAUAUAUUUAUUUUAAAAUUCUAACAAAUCUGUUUAAAAAGAUUUUUACAAGAUCUUCAUUUUCGAAAUUAUAUUUAAAUAUUUUUGCUAAUUUCAAAAUUAGUUUAAAAUAUUAUUAUGCAUUAAUAUAUUCAGUUAUAUAAAAUUAAAAAUAAAAAAAUCUAUAAUAUUUUAUUUAUUAUAUAAUCAUAAUCAAUCAUAUUAAAAUAAAAUUAUUAUAUUGAGCUAAAUAUAAUAAAAUUGUAUUAAAUUUAUAUAUUUAUUUAUUUUAUUUUCGUAAUUAUAAAAUAUUUAUGUUCAAAAAUAAAAUCUAAUAUGUUGGUAAGAUGGGUUAACAUUAUCAAACUAUAUAAUACAUGUAUAAAAAUUAACAUGUAUUUCUUUAAAGUUAAUAAUAUAAAAUCUUUGUAACUACUUUAAUCAUAAUAUAUUUUCAUUUUAAAUAUAAUAUAUAUUUAUAUAUUAUAUUUUAAAAAUUCUAAUAAAUCUGUGUAAAAAUAUUAAACAAUAACUUAAUGUAUUUUAAGUUAUCGUUUAAAAAUGAAAAUAAAUAAAUUAUAUCCUAUUUUAUCUACUUUAUAGUCAAGAUCAUGUUAAAAUAUAAUUAUUAUACUAAAAUAAAUACGAUAAAAUUAUAUUCAAGUGAUAAAUUAAUAAAUUUUAUUUUCAUAAAUAUAAAUUAUUUAUUUAAAAUAUAAUAUGAUGAUAGAAUAGCUUAAAAUUAACAAACUAUAUAAUACAUGUCUAAAAAUUAACAUAUCUUAGACUUUUAUAUAUACAAUAAUAAAUUAUCUAAUAUUGGUAAAAAGAAAUCCAGUUUUGAAAGACGGAUCAAAAUUUUAGCAUAAAUUAAAUACAAAAUAAUUUUUAAAUAUAUUUUCUCAUUAAUAUAUUAAUUUGCUUAAUAACUAAAUGCAAAUACAAUAAGAUAAAUAUAUAAUAAGAAGUGGUAAAUACAUACGGUUUAAACAAUUAAUUAAUUAUAACAUGUAAAUUAUAAAAUUAUUGUAUUUGAAAUAGUUAUAUAAAUAUUUAAGUAUAUGAUUAACAUUAAAAAUAUAUACCACUUAUGUUCUAAAACAAUAAUUUAUGUAUAGAAAAGUGAAAACAAACACCCGUGCGGUUGCACGGGUCAAAAUCUAGUAAUUAUGUUAUAAGACAAGUGCAAUUUUGGUAAAUUUGGUUAGAGAAUAAUUUAAUAAAAACAAAUAAUUUUUGGUCAAUUAAUUAAGUCUGGUAAGUUUAGAUAAAAAAGAAUCUAACAAAAUAAUUAACUGUCAUAAGUUGGUAAAUAUUAAAAUGAAGAGUGAGUUAUUUUCAAACAGUAUUUCAGUUUUCAUAAUAUAGAUGGUACAUAUAUCUUUAUUUCUAUGUUAACAAUUACACAUUUCAAAUUAACAACCAUGUCUGCUUCUAACAUAUUAUUCUGCUUGGUCUAUUGAGAUGGUUAAUUUCAAUCUUCCCGAAAAUAGUAAUUUCCAUUAACCAAAAAGAGGCAAUACCAUCCUUAAGAUUCCACCAAACUCCAUAAUUUCUCAAACCUUGCUACUAACUUACUAAAUUGCAAUAUUACACGAUAACGAAGAGAAGAAGGCAUUGUCAGUUAACUGAAGAAGAAGAGGAGCUCAACUCAACAUAUACUUGGCAAAAGCUUUGGAUAUAAUCGAAAAGCCCAUGUACUAAUCCUUGAGAGUUUUUCUUGAGAGAAUAGUCAUCACUUUCCCCUGUUAACAUAAAAAAAGAAGUGAUUGUGUGUUUUCAAUUUCUCGUUGUGUGACAAAUCCAAGUUGAUACAUCAUAAAAAAGAAAGAAUCCAGUGGAGAUUGUGAUACUUACGUGUUCAUCAUCAGCGUUAUGUUGUCUCCUUUAAGAAGAAUCCUUCCUGAAAAUAGGCAUUUUAGAGAGGGUUAUUGAACCAUAAGAUAACAAAUAAAAAGAGAGAGACUUGUUAUCAAAGAGCGAGUCCAGGAAUAAAAAAGACUCACCAAGUUGUUUUCUGGUGUUCUUCUUGAUGCUCACUUCUUCAGCUUCAUCCAACACUAGGUUCAUGUAUUCGUCAAACCCCUGCAAAAAAGGAGAAAAAUUGAAAAGAGGAAAUCAAUGAGAACGUCAUAAUCACAAAUUCCUCAGAAUCAACAUAAUAGAAGUACGAAAAAACUUCAACUUUAACUCAAGAAAAGAAAAAUAUGUUAAUAAUAACUGAACAAGGAACAUCCAAAGUCAAGUAAGCAACUCCACGUUUUAACAAAUUUUCUGAAUUGGCAAAGAGUCAAUCUAAGAAAAGCUUGAAUUUUAACUCGAGAAGAGUCAUAGUAUCGCAAUAAAAACCAAAACAAGUCAAGUAGAUGAUAAUGACUCAAAAGAAAAGCAGAGUGUAAGAAAAGAGUCAAAUCAUUACUCUGAGAAGAAUCAAAAGGAUAGCAAUACAAAUUGAAACAAGAAAGACACACAGUGAAACCAAUGACACCAUCAUCAUAAAUCUAACCUAAGAAUCAAACUAGUUUGUUUUCUAUUAUCAGUGGUUCGGUGCAGUAACAAAUCAGCCAGGUAACAAAUGCAACAGAGAGCUUAGAGAUUAUCACAUAGUUCAUGCUUAUGGAGAGACAGAUUCACAGAGAAACAAGAGAGUAUAUUGGAUGGCGACUUACAGUGAUUCUUCCUUCAAUCCUCAAAUCUUUCUGCUCAAAAAGCCAAAUCUGGAUCCUAGCUUUCUGCAUCACAUAGAGAGAGAGAGAGAGAGCACGAAUCAGAAUACAAUAAACCAACACGAAUCCAAUGGUUUAAGGAGCUUACGCUUUGAAGAAACCUAAAAAUCAAGUUCUGGAUCCGCCGCCGGCAAAAAAAACAAAAGGAAAAAUUAGUAAAAGAACAAAGAGAGAGAGAGAGAGAGAGAGAGAGAGAGAGAGAGAGAGAGAGAGAGAGUAGUCGAAACAAUAACAGAGAAGAUCCACGCACGAUAGGUUGGGUCAUAAUCCUUUGAACUUUGGUGCUCGCCAUUGCUCCCGACGUUUCAAUUCUCUCUCUCCCUCAAGCUUCGGUGGACAAGAAGAAGAAAAACCCUAAAUCACGACGAGAGAGAAAGAGUCGCUGUGUAUAGCAUUUUAUAUCUUCGCAGUUCAACUUUCGGCCCAUACAAAUUAAUACACUUAUUGGGCCAAAACUUCUAAUCUUCUUCUCUUUCACUAUCCUUGCAAAAACUUUUUCUUUUUUUCUUUUUAUGUUGUGAGUUGAAUCUCAAGCUUUUUUAGUUUUCAGGUUUAAGUUUUAUUCGGUUGUUAUACUUUGGUCUGAAUUGGUUAAUAAUACUUAGGUGUACAUGUACUAGUUCUUACAUUUUUAUACAUUGAUAUUUAUUUUUCAUAAUUAGUAAUUAGUGUUAUAUAUUUCACAUAGAUUAUAUUCAAAAGACUUGGACCAAAUCGAGUAAUAUAGUUAUUUUUAAUACAAAUAUCUGAAAUUGUACUCAUAUACAUUUGUUAUUUAGAUAUUUUUAGGUUUUUAUAUAUCAGAACUGAACUCAUUCAGAACCAUAAGGACUCAACUCAAAAUCUGCACAUUAUUUUGUAAUAUUCAAAUGGGGAUUAAUUUCAAAAAAAAAUGAUACUUGAAAAAACAAUCAGUACAUAAAUGGAUAGUCAAUGUUCAUGUCUAACUGAUUUUAUAAACUAAUAAAAAUAACUAUUCUCUAUGUAUUUGGCUAAUAUAUUUUUAUUAUUUUGAUUUAAGUUAUUAUUUUAUUCACAAAAACAUUUCUUUGAAUCAUGUUUUUGGCUACGUAAUUUUCCACCGAUUGAUACUAAAAAAAUUUGAGUAAAACAAACUAAACCGUUCGGUUUAACCAUAUGCAAAACCCAGUUUAUUACAUUUUUAUUUUAUAAUUGACACAAAGUUAAAUGUUGAUUAACUCAUAAAUAAAAAUCUGUAUUAUUAAUUUUGUGGCAAUAUAAUUAAUGAUGUGAUGUAUUGUUAAGGUAAUAUAAUUAAUGAAAUUGUUUAACUGAGUAUAGGUUUGGAGUAUUCAUCUCCGAUGUUAAUUCUUAUUUGGACACUUAUUCAAGCUUUCUUUUUGGAUAUUUUUCAAGUAUUCUUUCGGUUUCGAAAUGAUACUUGAUAUCCGAAAGCUAGCCUACGUACUUUACAUGUCUUCUUUUUUAACGUUGAUUUAUUAUGACAUUAUGUUUUUGCGAAAGAUUAUAUAGACUAUUCGAUAACUGAAAAUACUACAUGUUAUUAAGAUCGUCGCCUAACUACUCACACUUGCACCAUGUUGAAAAUUCUUUGUAAAUCUUUCUUUUGUAGUCUUGCAUUAAUAAAUCGCUCUUUCCAGGACUUAAAACCUGGAUUUCAUGUAAUCUGCUUGAAAUUGCAUAGUCGGAGGUUUGAAUCCCAAACUUUAGUGUAGAAACCUUUAAACCUUAACCAUUAUGUUACAAUGCUUCCACACAUGCUUUACAUGUAGAAGCUGCAUCUUUCAUAUGAUGUAGAGUUCAAAGAGGAAUAUGGGAGAGCUUGUUCAGUACUUGUAUGGUUCAAACGCAAACUUCAUUUCUCACCACACAGAGAUUUACAUAACCAACAGUAACAAUAAGCAUAGCAGCUAUCUAUGCUGGCUAAAUAAUCAUAUCCAAAUACAAAAACAAUUAGCCUUUUCUACAAAGAAUCCAAGCUUUGAAUAGCGAUCAUGCCCCAUUUAUCAUCAGAGAUUGAAAUGGAACUUUUUUAAUCUCCACAAACGUUGAAUACUCAGGAUUCAUAGGUUGCUUCCAUGGCUCACCAUCCAUUUGCAAGAACGCAUCUUUCCAGUCACCUCCUCUUAGCUCAAAUCUAACAGCAGCAGCCUAAUAUUGAUCACCAAAAACAGAACCUUGUUAGUACAACACUAUGGUUAUAUGACUGCAUUUUUAAGUGGUGUAUUUAUCAAGUUACCUGAGCUAUGUGCUUGGCUGAGAUGAGCUCAGUCAUGACAAAUGACGCAUGCCAUCCAUGCUUGAAAGCAAAGAUCUCUAUCAAACCAUCAUCAGAAUGUGCCUCCACAAAACCUCUCUGAGGAAAAAUAAAAACGGAAAGCCAUUAGAGAUUUGAGUUCAAUGAUUGAUGAAUUGAAAACAGUAGAAGAAACAAAUACCUUCUCUAGAUAGUCAGGUUUUAGAUUACCCCAGGGAUGACUUCCACUUCCAUAGCUUUGAAGAUUCAAUGCCACAACUGAUCUCACACUACAAGACAAACCAAUGCAUUAAAGAUCAUACAAUGUAAUAAGUGGAAGCAUAUAUAUAUGUAUAGAAAGCUUACUUUUUGGGGACUGCUAUCUCUUCCCAUUGAGAGCAGUUAACCUUCUUGAUGUGGAUUUUCAAUAUGUUCCUAAGUCCCCUGCACAAGCAAGCAACAGUUUCAGUAACAACACAAAAAGUACACAAUCAGAAGCGGAAAUAACGAACCUUAAGCCUGGAUCACUGACACACGGCGUGCAGAACCAACCCUGAGUGCAGCUAAAGCCAGAAUAAAUAAGCUGCAAAAAGGCAAAACGUUGUGUGGUUACGUAAUAACAGACACACAGAAGAAAGAGAUUUAGAGUUCGGUUAAAUAAAAACAAACCUUGUUUGAGAUGGGGCCUUGAGCAAGAUAUGGUUUAGUGUUGCGAAGAUGAUGGAAGCCAUAUGCAACUUGAGCAUCCAUUCCAAUGCUUAAGUAAUUGUAGAACACUCCUUCAUAGGUCUUUGCCACUGGCGGGGCAUCUACUCCUGCCUCUAAACCCUGGUCGAGUUCAUUUUCCUCGGAUGCUUUUAAAGAGUAAGGAGGAUCCACCACUUCUCCAGAUGGCAUUGACACUAGAAUCUUCCAGCUGCAAAUAACCAGAGCAGAGCACACACAUAUUAACAAUACAAGACAGAGAGAAAAACAAAACUGAAAAACAAAACUCUAUAUUCACCUAUCUAGCCUAGCAACUGGACCCAUGCUUGCGCGAUGGAGUGUUCUUUUAACAGCAGAUCUCCAUGCAAAAGGGAACGAACCACCCUGAAAGAGAAGCAACCAGUAAGAAGACUUGUUGUGAAAACAUAAAAGAGAGGAGAAAGAUCAACUGACCCAACCAAAACUCCUUGAGAGAUCAUUCCCUGUACCAAGAGGGAUAACGCCAACAGGAGGAAUAUGUGAUGUUUCAUCUUUGUUAAGCUCUCCAAGACAUCCAAGAACCCAACCAACAGUACCAUCACCUCCUGCAACCUAUCCAACCAAACUCAAAAUCACAUUCUAAUAACUAAAAGGUAAGAAAAUAAUAUUAGAGUGGAGAAAUAUUGUUUGUGCUCACCAUAAUCCUUAACCUAGCUCUGCAUUCUUUAGCACAUUCAUCUCCUUCCGCUGCAACUUUCUCCAAACACGCCAAACCGUAUCGAACAAACUCAUGUGGCUUCACUUCCGUGAGAUCAAACACCUGUUUUUAAUACAAAAUCACCAAUGAAAAUUCCAAUUAUAAAGCCUAUUCCCGAAAGAAAAAAAUUCACAAAAUUCCAAAUAAUUUUCGACCAUUCAAACAGAAACUCAGCAUUACAGAAGACUCAAAAUAUAUAAUCUUUGAAGUCAACGCAUCAUCCAACAACAACAAGAAACACACAAUUUUUCCAACUAGAUCCAGCAUCAACUAAGCAUGAAACCCAAAUCACACAGUUGAAAAAUAAAUAAUAGAAAAUCUUGUUAAGACAGAACACAAAACACAUCUCUCUUUACACACUAAACCAAUCCAUUAUCCAUAGAUCAGGCAGGUUUCAUUCAUAAUCUAAUCAGAAAGAUCCACUUAGUAGAUAUGAAUUAGAUUUCAAAACUAUUCACAAAUCCAACAAAAACAAAUUGUUUGACCUUAACCAGAAACAGAGAUUCAUUGCAGAACACUCAAAAUGUUCCUUCUUAAAAAGUCAACUUAUCAUUCCAACGACCAAAAAAAAAAAUUCCCCUACCUAACCAAAAGAUCUAACAUCAACCAAGCAUGACCAUUUAUAACAGUUGAAUAAUUUUCUUAACUGAAGCAAAGAAUAAAAGAGAAUCUGAUUAAGACAGAACACAAAACACAUCUCUGCUACACACUAAACCAAUCCAUAGAUCAGACCAGUUACAUUCACAAAGCAGAUAUGAAUAAAGAUUUCACAAACCCAAUUAAAAAAAAAACAUUUUUUGUUUGGUCUUAACCAGAAAAAAAAAGAAGAAGUCAGUUACAAAGACAAAACCAAACCUGUUCAUCGCUCAUCAACUGUUGAAGCCUCUCUUUAAGCACCGGACCAUGACGACCACCACUUUUAGGAUUGAUAAACACAACCAUCGGCGCGUGAGGAGCCAUGUCAGCGACGCCGCCACCGGGAAGAAGCAAAUGGUCAGGAAUCGCCGAGGCAUCUUUCCUUUUGAUACAGUCACGCAUGGCCAAACGUAAAUACUCAGGCAUCAACAGCCUCUGACGCAGCUCCUCCUUGUCUACACCGACCCACGUCAGAUUAGCAAGCCCACAGCCUCUCAUCGCCGCGGUGGAAUCAACCGUGGAUGACCGUGAAGCAACGAAUUUCUCCGUCGUUGCAUCCAUUAAACCCAAAAAAGGUGAAUACUUUUCGUGCUGUGAUUGGUGGAAAUGGAGAAUAUUCGAAACCCAGAUAAAUCAAAAACUGGAUUUUGACGACUGGGUUUUUUUUCUUUCUUGUGGAUUCAAAUCAACCAAUCUCCAUUGACCAGUUUGUUUGUUUUUUCGUUUUUAUAUUCUUUUUUUUUCUCCAGAGAUGUUGAAUUUUGAAGACAGCGAAGAAAACGUGUAGCAAUAUGUUUUUUUUUUCAAAAAGGAAUGACACGGUUGGAUUUAAUGUGACGUCAUAAAAUGCUCAUCUAGGUGUUAAUAAGUCACAGAGCUGACACUCUGUAUUUUCCUUAAGAUCUUUGAUAAAAUCUUUAAUUUCAAUGAAAGUUAUAUUAUAUUCCUCUAAGUGAUUAUUUUGUAUUAUCACAAUGAUCUCCAAGAUUUGAAUAUUAUUACAGGACAGCUAGAUUACACACAUUUUUGGGUAAUACUAAUUCAUUAGGCAAUAAUCCUCGUCUUGCGAAGAAUGUGAUUAUUAAUUUCGUUAUUUUUAAUAAAAAGACAUUAAAUCUGUUUAAUCUGGAUAUUAGUUCGGUUUUAAGUUUUUUUUUGGUUUUUAAUCUUCUAAAAUAUAACUAUUAUUUUCAAUUAAUAUUCAUUUUAGUUUAUUCGGUUAAAAUGAUUGAUUUUUUGUUUUAUUCGGUAAAAACCAAAAAUUAAUAUUAUUUGUUUAUUUUCAUAUUAUGAAUUUUAGAUAAUCGUCGUAUCGAUCCAAUAUUUUCAUAUUAUAGUUCCUAAACAGAUAAUAGUUUAAGAAAAAUAAAAGAAAACUAUUAAGACAUUUCAUUUCACUACAAUUUGGUCGGUAGUAAAAGAAGCAUUAAGAAAAAAUAUUUCAACUUUCAAAAAAAUUAGAUACUUUAGUUAUGGUGAAUACUUAGUUACAAGGUGCUCACAUCAAGGUACAUAUGUAUGUGUAUGUAAAAAGUAUAUAAAAUAGUUGACAAAUAUAUAAAAAUAUUGCUAAUUAAUAUUAAAUGACAUUUUUGUUCAAAAUAAUACAUGAAAGAUAAAAUUAAAAUUAAUUUUAAAUAAAAAAGGCCUUGAGAUUAGUCAUUUUUUCAUAUAAAGAAAAUAAAAUUGUAUCCGUAAAUAGGGGUGGACACAUUUCGAAUAUCUAGGUAUUUGAAAGCAUUCGUGUAGAUUCGAUCUUUAGCCACCUAGAUAUUCGGUGACUCGGACAUCCGAAAUGUUUUAGAAUUUUAAAGAAUAUCCGAUUUGAUCCGUAAAUAAAAUAAAAUUUUAAAAAUAAUUGAAAAUUUUAAUAAUAAAAAUUUAUUACAAAAAUAAAACAUUAUUUAACUUUUUAAAUUCUAGUACCUAAUAUAAUAAACUUAAUUCAUAAAAUAUUGUAAAACUGAUAUAAAGUAUAAUAUAUAUAACAUAUAUAUAUAAUUCUUUACAUAUAUGUUUAUAUAUAUAUGCAUAUAACAUAUCGAAUUAGAUAUAUGUUCCUAAAAAUAUUAGUAUUUGUGAUUUGCUUCUUUUUUGGAUAUUGUAUUUUAGUAUUUGAUUUGUUUCGUAGAUUUACGGAUAUCCAGAUUUUUUUGGUUCAAAUCAAAAUGGAUAACGAAUCGAAUCAAAAUUUAUGAAUAUUUUGCUCAACUUUAUCUGUAAACAAUAAAAAUAACAUAUAUAUAUAGUUUAGGUUUUGAUUCGUUAUUUAAUUUUAUUCGAACCGAAAAAUUUGGAGUUUUAUUGGAACCAUGUAUGUGAGUUUUAUAUUAAAAAAAGUUUAAAGUACAUAAUAUGAACACAUUUAUGAACAUAGUGUGAACGCAUUAACAUACUUAUUAUCAAAUUAUUGUUAAACUGUUACGUGUCUAUUAUAGUGUGAAUGUAUUUAUUACAAUGUUUCUCCUUUAAUAUAUAAGGGAUUUAUCAUCAAAAUAUAGUUAAAGGACAUUUUUUUUUGACAAAUGACAUUUAUUCCUAUGUUUCAUAUUGUUUGGCUGAUAAUAAAAAGAAUUUUUCAACCUAAUAUAAUUUAAUACUUUUAAGGUUUUAUAUUAAUUUAGGUAAGGUAGAAUUUAUUAGUUUUGACGUGUAUAGAUCAGCAAAGAAAAUAAAAUUUGUCUUUUAUUCAACUUCAUUAUGUCUCUAAAAAUGGACUGAAAUCAUGAUAUUUUGGGCAAAAUUAAAACCAAAUAAUUAAUUAAGACAUUGUUAGAAUAAAAUAUGAUGUCAUUUAUCAUAUUUAACAUUGUUCCAAGACGUGUUUACAUACGUUUUAGGUAAUACUAAUAAAAUGAUUUGUCAUCGCAAUAUAGUUUAAUACUUUUAUGUCUUUUAUAACUGAGUAAAGUCAAAUUAAUUAUUUUAAAGUGUGCAAAUCAGUAUAGAAAAAUUGUAUUUUUUUUUACUUCAUUAUAUGUCUCUAAAAAUGGACUAGAAAUCUGAAAUCAUGGUAUAUUUUGGAAACCGAAACCAAAUCAUUAAUUAAGACAUUGUUAGAAUAAAGUAUGAUGUUGUUGAUCAUAUUUAAAAUUGUUCUAUUAGUGUUUAUAUUGGUUAGAUAUGGUUUAAUAUGAUUAUCAAAAUGUAGCAUACUUUCACUUUCCACCAAAGAAAUAAUAAAAAACCACUGAUAAUAAUAAUACAGAGUGGCGUUUUCGUAAGUACACAAGUGAAUAGUUUGGCGUUCAGUGUAAAUUGUAAAACAAGCAACGAAGGAGACCAGACAAGUUGGAGUGGGUCUUGCGCAGAAUGGGCCCCACGUUGUUAAUGUGCUCACCAAUCAGGAAUUACUUUUGAGAGAGGUGCACUUUCCAUUCAUCAUUCAUCAUUCAUCAUUCAUCAUUCAUCAUUCAUCAUUCAUCAUUCAUCGUUGGAUUUUUGGUUAUUUCUUUUUGUAAUUUAUCACCUCUAUUUUCGCAAUGCCUUUUUUAUAUUCCUUCUAGAAUCCAUGCCGCCAUAGACACAAGACACAUUCGAUCAGAAAAAAAGGACGCAAAGACACAUUUAAAUGUUGAUUAAACUGUUAUUAAUGAUUUUUGAUGUAGAAGUUUCGGGUUUGCGGACGAAACCUUCACCACCACCUCUCUUAUAUUCAAUCAAAUCAAAGUGUCACCUAAAUUAUUAAUAAAAAUAAAAAAUAAUUAAAAAGAAAAUGAUGUUACUAACAAAAUCCUAAAUCUUAAAAUUAUAAACCCUAAAUCCUAAACUCAAACUCUAAAUCCUAAACCCAAACUCUAGAUCAUAAACCCAAACCCUAUACAUAAAUCCAAAUCCUAAACCUAAACCCUAAACCCAAAUUAUAUAUCAUAAACCUGAAUCUUAGACCCUAAACCUGAAUUUUAGACCUUAAAUUCAAACCAUAAACCCUAAACCUAAAAAGUUUGAAUUUGGAUUUAAGGUUUACAGUUUGGUUUAGGAUAUAGGAUUUGAGUUUGGAUUUAGAGUUUACGGUUUGGAUUUACAGUUUAGGUUUAGGGUUUAGGAUUUGGAUUUAUAGUAUAGAGUUUGGGUUUGGGGUUUGAGUUUAGGGUUUGGGUUUGGGUUUAGUAUUUAGGGGUUAGAUUUAGAUUUAGAGUUUAGAAUUUAGGAUUUAGUGUUUUGUUAGGCAUCAUUUUUUUUUAACUAUUUUAAACUUUUUAAAUAAAAUUUAAUAUUUUUAUUAAUUAUCUAGGUGGCACUUUGAUUGGUGGUAAGAGAAAUGGUAAAUUUAAAGGUUCACUAUAGGAAAUGAACCUAAGUUCUGUUCGUUGACAAACUAAUGAAAAACAACUUACUCGAAAUCUUCAACAGAAUACAAAUAAAACUAUUGUCAAGUGUGAAUUUACAUACUAAUACAUUUCAGAAUAUUAGACAUAUAAUUUUUAGACAUAGUUUUAUUAAAAUAAAAGUGUUAAACCAGGAAAUACAUUUAAGUGUUGUGUAGUAAAUUGAGAUUUUUAAUAGCAUCUUGAAUAUUUUUUUAUAUAAACAUUGAAUUCACGGAUAUAAACUGUAAUCGAAAUUGACAUGGAACAGUGUUUUUAAAACCAAACCAAUCCGAUGGUUGAACCGGGUUCGACCAUGAACCGGUUACAUAGUCGGGUUGGAUCUAAUAAUUGGUCCGACCAUGAACCGGUCACGUAGCCAAAUUGGAGCUUAAAGUUAUUAAACUGAUAAAAACCAUUAGAACAAUCAAAAUCUAAAAAUUAAUGAUAUAAACAUAAAACUAGUUUAUAUUUAUAAUGUUUUAUGUUUUAAAUUCAUUUAUAUUUUAAUUAUGUAUAAUAUUUACUAACAUUACUUUUAAAUAUAUACACUAAAAGUAUAUUAAAACUGAUUAUUAAACCAAGUUUGACCCGGUCGAACCAGAUUAAACCGUGACCCAAAAUUAUCCGGUUCAGCUUCCGGUCUGGUUUCAAAAACACUGCGCCAUGGAAGGAUUUGAUUGGUUCUCUCUCUCCCACCAUCUUCAUGAUGUACAAUUUGUAAAGACUUUUACAUAGUUUACUAAAUUGUUGUUCAUCUGAGUGGGGGUUAUUAGUUGUCUCUAUUGUGACAUCGCCACGAAGGAGGAACCCACUCACGUUACAUCUUUGAAGUAAAGUAGUUUGGAUUUAACCACAUGAUAAGAUGCUCCAUCAUCGCAUAAUCCUUUUUGUUCUUAUUAAAUAAUUUUAACUAUUUUUUUCCUUUAGUUUUGCUCUCGUGUAAAGCCGAUUCCCCUAGAAAGAGCAUGCCGAUACGCAUAUAGUAUUCUGAAACUAAAUAAAUCAUAAACUAAGGAAAUCAUAUAAUCACAUGGUAGAUGGUAAGGCUUGAGCUGAACCAUUCUCAGCUGAAUCUGUCAGACAAACCGUAUUUUAAGCUGAUCACAAAACAGAUAACAUAAUGUUUAAUAACGAAAAAUUUGAACUAAACAAACUUUGCAGAUUAAUGCCUUGUUAUUUGCUUGGAUAUACUCGUUUUUAACAUGCAUAUAAAUAUAAUUUAUAGCACAAGCGUUACUUUGAAGCUUCAUCAAAUAUAUGUUACAGCUUUCAUAAAAAAAUGUUUACAUCUUCAGAAUAGGAUAUAGUUUUGGUAUUUGAGUGUUUCGUGUGUAAAUUUUGGAUCCCCUCUCCUUAAAAGAGAGGAAGUCGUAUAUGUAGAGUUUUAUCUUAUAUGAACUAUAAGAUCGGGUUAUAUGCUGAUCACAUCCGCACUGAUUCAAGUUCCUAGGUCAACCCGGUACAAAACACUUAACAACUAUCACCUCCUUUGUUAUCCUACUCACCAGUUGUCCAAUAAGUUAUUGUGAUCAUAAAAAUAUAUAACCCAACAUAUGAGUUGCAGGCUACAACUUGCAGCGGUGACGAGUGGUUUGGCAGAGCUAUCUCACACAUUUAGAUUUGUAAUAUUCGAGGAAUGGCUUUCACCUGUUACUUGUUGAAGAUAUAUUAUUGUGGAUUGGUCAAUUCUUAUUGUGCAAGUUCAAAUGUGAUCUUGUUAUGGUAAAUAUUUGGUUUUAUCGGAGAUAACUUGUAAAUAUUUUUUUGUAAAAGGUCUUCGUAUUUAAAAAUUGGUUUUAAAAGUAGAAUACAAUUGAGACCGGGUGAUUGUGGUCGGAUGAUAAGGGGACGGGGUUGGGACGCUAACAUGUGUCAGAUUUGAUCUACGUACUGCGUGAAACUAAGUUACAAUUAUUCUGGCAUUUAACAAGGAUAUGAGUCCAUGUUUUAGAGCUCAUUUCAAUGCCCAGAAAAAGUGUCUAUCCGUAGGCAGCACAUUUCCUUGGAGAUUAAUCUAUGCAUUUCUAUGGAUUUCAGAUACCCUCGAGUUAAAAAAAAGAAUUGAAGAAAAAGAAACAGAAAAAAAAAUACAACAAAAAGAUAAGUCAGUUGAUAAAAAAAAAACAGAAAAAGUCUUUUUUAUCCAACAAUAAGAUAGUGUAACUUUUAGUGUAAAAGUUACACUAUCUUAAUAUAAUAUUAUAAUUAAAAUCACAUCAAAUUUGGUGUGAUGCUAUCCAUCACACUAAACACUAUUUUUAUUAAUAAAUAUAUAAUUAAAUACUUAUAUAUCUUUAAAUACUAUUUAGAAACAGAAAAUUAUUUAAAAACUGAAUUGUCCAAAUAUUUUUAUUUAACUAAUAUGGAAUUAUCUAAAUUAUAUGAUAUGUAAAUCCAAACAACAUUUUUAAUGAAGGGUAAAAAACAUUUAUACUCAUAGGGUUAACUAAUCUAGACUUAGGGUUUAAAGUUAAGGGGUGGGGUAGGAUUUUUAGAAUUUAAAAUAUAUGAUUCUAAUAAAUAUAUAAAUAUAUACUUAAGAAAUAUAUAUAUUUUUUUUUUUUAAAAAAAGGGAAAUUGCCAUUACCACAUUCAUAGUACUAUUUUUUAUGUUUACACUAACUACUUUACCUUCACUUUUAGUGAAAGAUAAAAUAUAUUUAUAUUUGUAGGGUUAACUAAUCUAGAUUUAAGGUUUAGAGCUGAGGGGCAGGGUAGGGUUUUUGGAAUGUGAAAUUUAGUUUCAAACAUAAUUUUUGAUUUUCAAAAAGAAAUUUUGAAAAAAAAUCGAAAAAAAUUUCAAAUAAAAAUAUAAAAAGAUUUGAAUUUGAAAAAUUAUAAUUCGGAAACAUAAAAAACUAUUUUUUAUUUUUUUAUUUAUUUAAAUAAUUAUUUAUUAUAUAUAUAGAGAACAAUAGUAUAAGAGUUUUUUGCCAUUUAAUGAAGAAGAUAUUUUUGAAAAUGUUUUUCUUUAGUUGUGGUAAAGAUGAAUAAUGGUAACAUGAAAAUGGUAAACAUGAAAUUUCCCCCUGAAUUAUAUGUAAUUACUCAAAAUUAUCCGAAAAAUUUGAACCAAACCAUGAACUAGCUGGUUUUUGAUAUUUUUACAAGAACAUAACCAAAAUUUUUUAAAAAAUCGAGUCAAAACCAAACCAAUUUUACAAAUAUCCGAACAAGUCUUAUACUUUUAAGAACUAAAACCAGAAAAUUAAUUUGUUUAUUUCAUAGGGUAAUUCUUUGAACGCUAGCCAGCUUAGGUUAUGAGUCGUAGAAGCCCAAACCAGAGUGGAUGCAAAAUAUAUGCUGGGCACACAAAAGCCCAUAAACAAAAACAUAAACUUAAGAAAAAAAAGAAGAAGAGAUUGUUCGUUCGUCUGGAGAAGACGGAAGGGAUAAGGAUGAUAACGGUAAGCCAAGUUUCCUCUUACUCUUCUUCUUCUUCAAACCUCGCUUCUCUGUCUCGUCUCAACCCCAAAUCAUGCUGGAGACUCCGAAGCUCUUCUCUGUACGGACCAAGCUUCUCCAUUCCGACCAAAACCAGGAACACUUGUUGUAAAGCCAAUUCAUGGAAGAAUCUCGGUCUGGUCAUCAACUCUAGAAGGUACUUUCAAUCUUUAUAUCAGAUGGGUUCCACUUGAAAUCGAUUAUACAGGUCCUUACAUAGAUAAUGCGACUUAAAGUUCUCUGCUUUGUGGAUGAAACUAAAGAAAAUGAUUUUUAGGACCAGUUCUGAUGUUUCUUAGGCUAUGUCUGGUUUGAUAAGACUUGACAUUUUUCGGAAAAUGUUCUUAAGACUAUUUUGUGUUUCUUAGGCUGUGUCUGGUUCAAUAGAACUUGAUAUGUUGCUGUUCUAUCACUUUACUGUGCAUUGUUUGCUGAGGAAACGAAAAAAAAAGAAAGAUUUUUAGGACCAAUUGGUGUUUCUUAGGCUAUGUCUGGUUCCAUGAAUAGAUUAUAUGUGGCUGCUCUAUAUCACUUUACUUUACAUAUUUCCUGAUUGGAGUAUCUCUGUUCAGCUCUGAGGUUUCGACAUUUGAUCCUUUGGGCAUUAAUCCAAAAGAAGCUUCUGGCCUGAGUAGCAUUUGGGAAAGCCUUCUGAGUGUUUUGUCUCCAUCAUUUGAAAGCUCCUCUGGUAGCAAAAGAGAUAAGCCGUCUUCUGGUCGAGGCGUGGCAGGUCCGUUAAGCUUACAUACAUUCACUUUCUUGUUAGAGUGAUGCUUACUCUUUUGAAUGUUUUCCCAGCGGCUAUUGAGGACAGUUCCAUUGACUUUGGAGAUUUCUUCAAAGGCCCAUUACCUGGAAAGUUCCUAAAGCUUCUCGGCUUCUUAGCACUCUCUCGCCUCGGAAUCUACAUCCCACUAGGUGGAGUCAACCGAGAAGCCUUUGUCGGAAACUUGGAUCAGAACAGCUUGUUAACCACUCUAGACACAUUCUCCGGUGGUGGCAUUGGUAGACUCGGCAUAUGCUCCCUCGGUAUCGUCCCUUUCAUCAACGCCCAGAUCGUGUUUCAGCUUCUUGCUCAAGUCUACCCCAAGCUGCAAGACCUUCAGAAGAAAGAAGGCGAAGCGGGUAGGAAAAAGAUCCUUCAGUACACUCGUUAUGCUUCGGUUGGAUUCGCUAUAGUGCAGGCGAUAGGACAAGCGGUUUACCUCCGUCCUUACGUGAAUGACUUCAGCACUGAAUGGGUUGUUUCGUCCGUCACGCUGCUAACGCUUGGCUCUGUCCUCACUACUUAUAUUGGAGAGAGAAUCUCUGAUCUGAAGCUUGGAAACGGCACUUCGCUUUUGAUAUUCACGAGUAUUAUCUCUUACUUGCCUGCUUCAUUUGGUAGAACAGCGGCAGAAGCUUUGCAAGAAGGGAACUAUACUGGUCUCGCUACUAUAGUUGUUUCAUUCCUUCUCUUGGUACUUGGAAUCGUCUAUGUUCAGGUAACUAACUAACUACUCCUUCCGUUUCAGUUUAAUUGUUCUUGUUGAGUAAAAUUUUCCUUACAAAACAAGUACCGUUUUAGAAUUUCAAUGCGAAAUUUAUUAACAAUAUUUUUUAGUUUCUAUUAGUUGAAAUAUGGUUAGGAGUAUAGGUAAUGAUAUUUUUAAUUUUAAAAAUAUAGAAAAGUAAGUGUUUUCUUAAUCUUUUUGCAGAAAUUUAAAAAUGAUGAUUAAAAUGAAAUUGAGAGAGUAUAAACCAAGCUUUAUUCAGGAGUUUAUAGUCUAACUAACAAGCAAAGUGUUUCAGGAAGCAGAGAGGAAGAUUCCGCUCAACUAUGCGUCGAGAUACACCAGCAAAGCAGGUGGGCUUCAGAAGUCUGCUUAUCUUCCAUUCAAGGUCAAUAGUGCUGGAGUGAUGCCUAUCAUAUUCUCCACGUCAUCUCUUGCUCUCCCUGCUACUCUAGCGCGAUUCACCGGCAUAUCUUCUCUGAAGAAUGUUGCUUAUGGUUUGAACCCCGGAGGUGAGUUCUUCUACUUCAAAUGUUAUAUCGAGGAAGUAAGAUUUAUACCAAAAACUCUUUGCAGGUUCGUUCUAUCUUCCAACCAACAUACUUCUCAUAGCUUUCUUCAACUACUACUACACUUUCCUGCAACUUGACCCAGACGAUGUGAGUGAACAAUUGAAACGACAAGGUGCAUCCAUCCCUCUUGUCCGGCCUGGUAAAAGCACUGCUCUCUUCAUCAAAACCGUAAGAUCCUCUCUCUCUCUCUCUCCUUCCUCAGUUUCUUCAAACUUAACAUUUUGGUUUAUCAUCAUCAAUCUAUAUAAUAUUUGAAUACUCUUCAGGUUCUUGGCCGGAUAUCUGUUCUUGGAUCAGCAUUUCUGGCUGUUCUUGCUGCUGGUCCUGCUGUGGUGGAACAGAUCACUCACUUGACAGCAUUCAGAGGAUUUGCUGGUACUUCUGUUCUGAUUCUCGUAGGGUGCGCGACAGAUACUGCAAGAAAGGUUCAAGCUGAGAUCAUCUCGCAGAAGUACAAGAACAUUGAGUUUUAUGAGCUUGACAAGUAUGAUCCAUGAAAAACUAGUCCGUUCUACUGUUACAUAUGACACCAUCAAAUCAUAUUGUUGUACUGUAUGAACUUACUAUGUAACACCAAGGGUUUUGAAUUUGAUAGUAUAUAUAAUGUGAUAUUUGUCAAUGUAAUUUGCGAAAUGAGACUGAAACACCUAAACACUUCACACAAAAUUGAAAUGCAAUUCAUGACAUAUCUAUUUGCUUUUCUAUGUAUAAUUAUAAACACCUCACAUGGAGGCAAAGUCAUACGCAUGUAAAUUUCACACUAUUGAAACAUAGAACAUCAAAGUCUUGGUAUAUGUUUGCUCUUGAAACCUGAACAUGUCAAACUAAAGAAAGUCGAGAAAAGUUUCCCACACUUGUGUUUAUUUAUCCUGAAGACUGAGUUAUUUAGUAAUCCAGUGGCUUUGGCAUUUUAAUCGAAAUAGUUACACGGCAAUAACAUAAUAAAAAUAUAUCAUUCUAGAUAUUCAACCAGACCUUUGAUUAUUGAUAUAUAUAUAUACAACGUAACCAAUUCCGAUUACAAACACACAAUACAUUCAUGAGACUAUACCAUAUCUCUUCAAAUACUUCAAGGCAAUGCUCCUAUGAGCGUAGUGGAGGAUAGUUUCAUAUAUUCAACAUCCCUCAGCGACUCAACGUCUUUGCCUUGGAGUCCCUUACAUUGGAAAUAGGUAAUGGUGUAACUCACAAGCUGAAACAUCCUCACUGCAGCGAUAGAACUCACAAGAACCAAACCGAUGGUUAAGAUAACUGGAAAUGAACUGUUCAAAUCCACCCGCCUCACUAUCUGAACUAAACCGAAGGACACUAAACCGAAGAAAAGAUUCAAGAGGAAUAGUUUCGGUUUCAUCCCUUUAACGAUCUUUGCAGCUUUCCCCAAAGCUUGGAUCCCAUAAGUUUCCUCGAGGAUCGAUAUGACCAAAGAUAGAUACCAAACGAUAGCUAAAUAGGACUCAAACACUGAGAACAGAACAAACAAAGCCCCAGACUUGGCUGCCAAGUAAUCGAGUUUUGUAGAGAACAAAAGAAGAGGGAAAAGAACUAUGAAGAAGAGAAACCAAUAGCCAAGAGUGAACAGAACAAUGUAGAAAUAGGUCACAAGAGGUCCCUUCCAAUAUUUAAGGGUCAGAAGAACCGGAAAAUCUUUGAGCUUCACAUUCUCUUCUUUAUGAGUAAGAGCAGAAGCAUGGACGAUGACUAGAACCGAUAAAAGGUUGAUGACGGAGGAGACUGCGGCAAAGAUGUAUGAAGACACCACAAAUUGUUGAAAAUCUUGAAAGACUUUCAUAAGAUGGGCUAAGUAUUCUGGGGUGCUUGGAUCCAUCAAAGGUAUCAGACUUGAUUCUUGAAUCAAGUUUGUUAUCUCGGGUUUGAUGGCAAAGACGUUGAACAAGUAAACUAAAACAUUUAGAAACAGAGGGAAUACCAAGACAGAGAACAUCAACUUCUUGUUCUUGAGAAAGAGUUUGCCAGAUUCAUGUAAGAUACACAUAACCUCUUUUAGAACAUUCAAGAAGGAAGCCAUGGGGUUUCAAGAGAAAUAGAAAUGAAAAAAUUAUGAAUAUUGGUUUUAGAAAUGAUUGUGAGGGUUUAAGAUCAUACAUUCAUUACCAUCUGCUUAUAUAGUACCCAUCUUCUUAUCAUCCACUGACCAAGACCAAGUCUACAGAGCCACAAAUAUCACCUAUAUAUUUGAUCCAAAGUCAAAAGAAAGAAACAAAGACUUAGACGAAUUCAAGGUCAAGAAACCGAAUCAUAUAUACUAAGAGUUGUUAAAGCGAUGAAACAAGAGGUUACAUGUUUAAAUGUACGUGAUCAACACUCACUUCAUAAAAUUCAUGUUGAAACGGUCAAGCAACACCGUGGAGAAAAAAACAAAACGUCUAUAUCUAUAUAUACAUCAUCUUUUUAGAGACCUAAGGAUUCUAUAAACCAAUGAAGCAAUUGGUCUCAUCAAGUAUAAGUCGUAAACUACAAGUUAACGUUACAUCCUUGUCAAAUUCAACUUUACACAUCAUACUACUUGAGCAAACAUUGUUAAGAGAAACUUGCAAAUUAAAAAAAAUGAUUAUAAUAACUUCUAAUUAAAUUAUAGACUUAUAGUUGAAACAAAACAGAACACUUGCAAAUCUAACACACGACUUCUUCUUCUAUGACCAAAACAUCUCCACAAUUCUCCUUGUUGUUGUACCUUAAAGAAACAAAGAUUUUCAAAUAAUGUAAAAGAAACUUGCAAAUUCAAAGAAAAAAGUUAUAAUAACUCAUAAUUCAAUUAUAGUUGAAAGUAAAUAAACAGAACACUUAGAAAUCUAACAAACUACUUCUUCUAUGACCAAAACAUCUUAACAACUCUCCUUCUUGUGCAUCUUCCUCCCUCAACCUAACCCUAGCUCUGCAAAUUGGGCAACUCGCGGCUUUGAGCAACCAAGUGUCCACACACUUCCGAUGGAACACGUGUCCGCAACCAGGAAGGUUCCGACACCAUUGUCCCUGUCUGAACCCAUCAAGACAAACCACGCAAUCGCUUCCGUGCCGUGUGGUGGGUUCGUAGAAUUUAAAUUGCGGAAGCUUUUUAACGAAUCUUGAAGAUAACCCAUCCGAGGAUACAUGUCGGCGGUUACGUCGGCGACAUCGUAGGUGGCGAUGGAGAGAGGAGAGGAGGAAAGGGAGAAGAAGAAGAGAUGCGAUGCCGAGAAGGAGGAGGAAGAGAGAGAAUAUUGAUAUCAUGAUAACGCCUACGAGGAAUAGAGAGAUAAUUUUCGUUUUCGCCUUUGGCGGUGGUAGUGACGCCGAGGUAUACGGUGGCUCGCCGGAGACAUUCGUCGGAGGCAUCGCAAUAUAAAAAUAAUUCGUUUUUAGCUUCUCUGUCUUGUUUUUUUUUACACUUGAAUCUAAUGGGAAAAGCUAAACACGGAAUGCUUUGAUAUUUUUGUGAGCUAAAGUUCUAAAAAUGAGAGAUAUUUCUUCUUAGAAACAUGACGCAAUCAAAAAGUUUACAGAGAAACGGUCAUGUGUCAGUGAUUUUUUAAUUUUACUUUGGGUUUUGGAUCAUGUGAAAGCACUUUUAAUAUGGUUUUGUUUUGGCUCCAUGUCAGAAAUUUAUAACAGGUAUGUAUCGAGCUAUAUAAUAAUAACUAGUUGAUGUGCUGCACCUUGUGCGGAUUAAUAUAUCUAUACAUUUAACAAUUUUUAUUUUAAUUUUUAAUAAAAUAAUAAUAAUUAAAUUAGAUACAAAUUUUAAAUUAUUAUAAAUUAUAAAAUUUCAAUAUUCAUAUUGGUAAUCAAUUUAUUAAAUUAUAUUAUUUUGUUUCAUAUAUUUAUUUAUGUGAUGUAGAUUUUGGAUCAAAAUCUUUUUUAUAGUAAUAACUAAAUUAGGAAAUUUUGUAUGUGAAAUUAACGCAUAUUGUAUUUGGACUGAAAAGAAAUCAUGUGGUACUAUAAGGAUUAAAAAAAAUCACAAAUAUAAAACAUUAACAAAUAACAAUAGUUUAGGAGUGUUCAAUCUGGUAAAACCAAACCAUUCAAACCGAACCAAACCGAAAUAGAGAAAAUAGUCUGGAUUUGGAAGUACCAAGGAUGUUAUGUUUAGAAAACAUCAGUAUAUGAAUAUGGUUCAAUAUAUUAAGGGAUCAAACCGAAUAAACAAAAGAAACCGAUUAAUUCAGAUAUAUUAGUAUACUCAUAUAUAAAAUUUAUAAUAAUAUGUAUUUGAUCAAUAUUUUUAGUAAAAAUCAGAUAAAUUAGCUAUAAUAUUAGUCAUUAAAAUUAUAAAAUGAGAGAAAAAUAAUGAUGAUAUUAUCGGUAUAUAUUGUUAAUAUCUAUUUAUUAAUUCCUAAAUAUUAUGAUAAUUAUAUAUUAAAAUAUAUGUUUUAAAAAUAUUAGUAUAUAUAUAUAUAUUGGUAAAAUAUGUUUAUGUUUAUUAAUUAUUUAAAAUAUCAUGAUAAAUAAUUUAUAAACAUAUACAUAUAAAAAUAAAUAAAUUAAAUAAUAAUAUUAAUUAAACUAAUGAUUUAUCCUAUAACUAUGGAAAAGAAGAAAAAAUAAGCAAAUUAACUAAAUAAACUGAUUAAUUCAGAUAUAUUAGUAUACUUACAUAUAAAUAAAUUUUAGAAUAAUCUGUAUUUGAUCAAUAUUUUCAGUAAAAAUCAGAGAAAUUAGCUAUUAGCUAUAAUAUUAGUCACUAAAAUUAUAAAUGAGAGAAAAGUAAUGAUGAUACUAUCGGUAUAUAUUAUUAAUAUCUGUUUAUUAAUUAAAUGUCCUAAAUAUCAUGUUUAUUAUAUAUUAAAAUAUUUGUUUUAAAAAAUAUUAGUAUAUAUAUGUAAAAUAGGUUCAUGUAUAUCAUGAUUUUAAAUAUCAUGGUAAAUAUAUAGUGUUUUUCAUGAUUUUAAAUAUCAUGAUAAAUAGAUAGAUAUAAAAAAAAAUAUUAAUUAAACUAAUAAUUUAUCCUAAAAUCAUGGAAAAGAUGACAAGUAAGUAAAUUAACUAAAAUCAUGGAGAAGAUGACAAAUAAGCCAAAUCACUUCAUAAAUAAUAGUAUAGAUACCUUUUUUUCUGUUUGAGCAACAUAAUAAUACCUUACUAGAUUUUGAUCCGAGAUUUGAAAGCGCAGAUUUUUUUUUUUAAAAAAUUCCACUGAAAAAAAGAAUUUUCAAUUAUAAAUCAUGUGUUUUAAUUUUUGAUAGUCUGAUAUAGGAUUUGGGAAUAAUGUGAUUUGGGAAUAAUGUCCACAUCCGAAAAACUAAUCCAGAACUGACCUAAAAAUCAGAUAUUGAUUCUGCUAAGAUCCGGCCUAAAUAUCUGAAAGGGUCUAUUUUUCGAAACCCCAAAAAUCGAUACGAACCCAUACUGGGAAUUGAAUGGAUAUCCGUACAUAACCGAAUAUAAAAUAUAUAUACAGUAGAAUCUCUAUAAAUUAAUAAUGUUGAGACUUUAGAAUUUUAUUAAUUUAUAGAGAUAUUAAUUUAAAAAAGUUUCCUUAUUUAGAUUUUCUUAUAUUUUAAGAUAUAUUUAUUCUAAUAUAAGAAAAAUAUAUUGAUUUUAGUGUAUAUACAUUAAUUGUUAUUCUUUGAAAUUUUACACUUAUAUUAAUUUUAUUAUAUUUUUCGGUGUAUAUAAUAUAUAUUGCAUAGAACUUAAAUGUGGUUUUAAACAUAAUAUUACUAAAUCUCAUCAAAAAUAUAUUAAGUGGUAAGAAAAUAUAAAGAUAAUUCCAUUGUGAAUAUAAAAAUAAUAAUAUAAUAAUAGGUUCUGAUUUAUAUAAAAUAUGUAUACAUAUAAAUUAUUAAUUUAUAAUUUUAAUGGGACCAUAUAUUUACAUAUAACUUUAUAAAAAAAUAUUAUCUUAUUAUUUUAUCGAUUUGUGUCAAAUUUUGAACUGGCCCAAGUUGAGGCCGACAAAAUUUAUUAAUUUAUAGAGAUUAUUAAUUUAUCGAGUAUUAAUUUAUAGAGGUUCUACUGCAUAUAUUUGUUAUAAUUAUACUUAUAAUAAUAUUAAUACUUAAUAUUAAAAUUAUAAAUCAAAUAUAUUAUUUAUUUUAGUUAUUUAUGGAUAUAUUUGGGUGUUUUGGAUACAAAAAACCUAAAUCAUAUUGUAUCUAUGGUUAUUUUUGGAUUGAUAGUAUCCCUAAAUAUCUUUUGAUAAUUAAUACUGUUAAUUAGCCAUAAAUAUAUGAGUGACAUGAUUUUGUAAAUAAGUCUAAAACUGAGGGUAUAAUUUUAUUAGAGAUUCUGUUUUAAUAGUAUAGAUAAAUAUUUGAGUGACAUGACUUCUUAUUCACAAAGUUUUAAAUAUUAUCUUGAUGGAAAAGGAAAAGAUAAUACUAGGGUUUCAAAUUAAUAUAUGUCGUUAGGGUAGUCUUUGGGGGCGAUUGGUUUUCAGGCUACCACCCGCAAACGCAGCUUUUGCGGUUGGUAGCGGUUGUCGGCGGUUUGCAACAAUCACUCAAAUCGCUAUAAACCGCUUCAAACCGCUUCGAAUCUCAUAAAUUCAAAAGCUGACUCCAGCUAGCGUUUGCGGUUGCGGGCGGUUGCGGGAGGGUAAAAUCUUUUUCUUUUUUUUUAAACAAUAUAUAUACAAAAGUAAAAAUAUUUAAUAAAAAAUUUAAAAUUGAAAUUAUGAAAAUGUUAAAAUAUAUCUAUUAUAUUUUAGUUAAUAUUAUAAAGUUUUAUAGUAAAAACAAUUUCAAUAAAUUUUCAAAAAUUAAAAUUAUAACUUUCUAAAUAUGAAUUUUAUAUUUAUUAUAAUUUUAUGAUUUUGAUAUUUUUAUAAUUAUAUUAAAUGUAAAUAUUGUUAAUUUAUUAUUUGACUGUUACUGCAUUUGGUAGUUAACCAGUCAUAAGUCACCCGCAAACGCACCAAUUUUUAACCACAGUACCAGUCGUACAAAUCUCUUAAAACCGCUAGAAACCGCAGCCGUCCGCAUCCACAAACUCCCGCUAGAAACCGCUGCGUUUGAACCAGUCAGGCCCUUAGUGAUGAAUCUCUUAUAUAUUAAAAGAGAAACAUUUUAAUAAAUGUGUUCGUGUCAGUCUCACAAUGAAUUAAACUUUAAAGUGCUAACGUGUUGUUUGGAGAAAGCUGCUCAGCCCAAAUUUGUAUGAUUAACAGUUUAACACUAACACGUUCCCAUUUAUGACAUCUCACGGGUCAAUACAUAAAAAUAGUUUUUGUAUCAACAUAUUUCCUUUACAAUAAACCUCUACAAACACGCUUUGCUAAUAUUCUACGUCACUGAUUUUAUCAAAAGUAAACACAUGAACAGACCAAGAAAAUCACAUAAUCUCGCAGUCUUUUGGUAUGCAAAACAUACUCACUGCUUUAUUCUUCCGAUUAAAAAGAAAAGAAUAAAACAUCAGCCUGAAAACAGAAUAUAAUGAACAUAUCCUAAAUCGAGGUGAAAAUUUAUUGUGCUAUUGUUUUGCUCGAAAACAAACAAUUUUGGGAGAAACUGAAGAAAAAGUUAGAGAGAGGUGAGAGAUUUUUUCUCUCUUUUCUCUCUCCCUCGAACUCUUCUUCUCUUCGCCGCUCCAAUUGUUUCUUCUUCCGGUGGCCGACGGAUGGUCUCUACCCGUCGGUCGCCACCCCCAAAACGCUCCCGUGUCCAGCCUCCUCCCCUGCUAAGAUCUGUCGUUCUUUUCUCCUCUUUGCAUAUCAUCUCUGGUUCUUCAUCGGGUUGCGGCCGGAUCCGGUGAACCAAAGCGGUUUCUGAGUGUGUACUCAGCAACUCUGGAGUGGUGGCGAGGUCGUUGGUGGUCGGAUCUAAGCAGGAGGCACCGACGUUUUUGUAGAUCUAGGGUUUGACUUGAACCAGAUAUGGGUCAGAUCUGUUUUGGAGGUCUGUCGGAGUGGUUGAGCGUCGCUGCCUCAUCUUCUCCGGUGUGUUCUACCUACUCUGUCCUCCCACGUCUCAGCUGUCGACUGCUCUAGUCAGAAUUUCCCCAUCUAGCCUUCGGUCUAAGAUGAAAAGGUGAAGCUGAGGCCUUCGCUGGGGACUUCUUCUCCAUCCAGUUUUCAUGACAGCCUCCAUGGCGUGUUGGUAAGCUACGGUUUGUUUUCUUUGACGUGAGAUGGUCAUGGGUUUGGUGCCUUGCUCUGUUCUGUCUCUGGUUAAGGGAUGUGCCUUCUUUCCUUCCGCCUGUUGAUGGGAGUCUCCAACUCCUCCGUAUACAAAGCUAUAGAAGAAUGUUGUGGGGACCGGAGUUCUGCCGUAUUAACCUCCGCUUCCUAACAGCUAGUACUCACCGGUGCUUAUUUUACUGGUUUCUUCGUGUUGGGAUGGACUCACAGGGACCUGGUUUGUUAUCUUUGUGGAGUGUGUACAACGUCUGGAGUGGACCUCGACGGUUGCGAUGGCCGGACCAGGGCUUGGUCACCCCUGCUUCGCCUGUCCGCCAGUUGGAGUCGCCUUUGGGAUGGUCUGCGGUGCCUCAGACUGUUCUCCGGUUGUCUGCUCUACUGAUCUCUUCUCUCGUUGCAGGUUCCGACAAUGAGACUAAGUUGAGAUCUCCUGUAGCUUAAUGGUUGUUAUGCUUUCUGCAAACUAGCUAAGCUUUAAUCUUGUUCUUAUGGAUUAAGAUUAGACCUUCAUUGUUCUAGAGAGUCUUUUUUAACUUUUUUUGUGGCUCUUUACAACACAAUUGCUUUCAUUAGCUUCCUAGAUACUUAGGAUUUGAUCUUCCAAAACCGUGCAUCUCCUUGUAUCAUUAUUGAUUUAAUGAAGAUUCACAUACUUAAAAAAAAAAAAAACAAUUUUGGGAUACUUUUGCUUCAAAAUUUACCCAAUAUUCCAUGUCACGAACUUGAAACUGUCAGACAGAAUUAACCAUAUAUGAUUAACACAGUUGUCUCAGACAAAGCGAAAAUCAUCAACUCACAUUGUCUUUUGGUCUGUAUAACAUACUCACUGCUUCUCUUCAAGUCUGAACAGACACCCUAGGUGGAGAAGACACCUAUAUAUUUGUUUCUCCUAAAGUCUGCUUCUCUUAAAGUGUAUGACCAUCUCCAGCACGUCUACAAUGU
rnacentral:lncRNA from 1 species